CUAUCAGCUACAACUGCACAUCCUAUAGCUGCAAAUUUUCAUGAAUUGUGUUAUUAUACAAUUUUAUUAUAAUGUUAUAGGUGCCACUUUUAAUAGGAGAAUUUCUGAUCAUCAGAUACCUGGAGGUGGCUUUUGAGAUGAUACAGGGUUGAUAAGGAAUGCCUCGUGAGGGACUCCUUAUAUGGUGAAACAUAGAAUCUAGCAUCUUGGAACAAACAAGGAAGGAACAAUCUUUAAUGCAACUGACAGAAGAUGCCGUCCUCAGUUAUUCUGGAAACAAUAGCGAAAAUCAAAAUGUCAGGUUUCUCUGCCUUUUUUAUGGGAACUUCAUCUGCAUGGUUUACUCAUUAGAUCAGUAGAAGUAUGUGUAUAGGAUAAAUACCUAAAACUGGAGUGAUUUCCUUUCUGAAUGUUGCUUUCUGGCAUAUUAUUCUGCUAUCUGGUUGGUCUGAAAGAUGCCUUUUCUGAAUAAUUCACUGAAUCACCAGAUGGAAAUAUUUGCGUAGCUUCUUUGGAGGUAAUUUAGUUCGUAUUUAGAAGUACUUUAGUGUUGUUGGGUUUACGUGAUUAAUAAUUUUAAUGUUUAUAGUGGAAUGCAAUAUGUUAUCUUUUGUUCAAAUGAAACAAUGACAUUUCUUUUUACAUUACUUGAUACUCGUUGCCUUCUUGGAGAGUGAUAUCUGACACACGGAAACAUAUUUUUCCUAUCAAUUUUAUUCUGUCCUUUGUGCUACUAUAAAGUGCAUAGAAUAUGAACAAGCACAAGUUCCAUCAGUGUCCUUUUCUAAGAUUGGUACAUAUUCACAUUGUAGUCCAGUCUUAGGAAAGGCUUAUGCUCAACCAAGGCAUUAUGAACAAGCUCUUAGGAAAGGCCUCUGCUCUUUACAUGGGAUAAGCUCCUUUUGAACCAGACCACUUUGCUUUUAAUCAUCACCAGUCAAACAAACAGCACUUAGGUGCUAUGUUCCUGUAUAUGUUACAGAAAAUUCAUCAUUUCGGUACUUCUUGCUACAUAAGUAGCUGGUUUAUUGCAAUCAUUCUUCUCAACCAAGGCAUUGAAAAGCCAGAUGUUGUAAGCAAGUGUAGGCGUUCUAUUUCCUCCAUCCCUUUUCCUUUUAAAUCAUUACAUGGAUACAAAUUCAGUCAAUUCAUGUCUAGUUCACCGGGAGAUGUGUUUUGCGGCACUUAAGGAUCUGGUUUUGUUCUCAUCCUGUAGUCAAGUUUCAAAGUUCUCUGCAUUUCAUCAAUUUGCCUUCAUAAUUCUUUUCUUUGGGACACCAAUAGAACAAGAAUGAGCUAUCCUCAUAUGUCAUGUCAUGCUUAACAAAGGAAAGUAUAAAAAAGAAAACAAUUCAUACAAGCGCUCAUGUAUUUCGCUAUGCUUAACAUUGUACCAUUGCACCAGCUCUGUGUGUGAUUCGGUUGAUUGAACUAUUGAAGUGGCACCUCAUUAGAACUGUGUCAGGGGUAUAUGUCAUUGUUGACAAAUGGGACCGAUUUUCAGCUGUGACAAUUUAAAGGUCUUCUGUACUUAAGGGAAUGAACUAUCAGGAAUAUCUCUCUUUCUGCUUCACUAACACCGAUGGCACUGCGCUGAACCUUUAUCCCUUCUAUUAAGAGCUUUCUUUGCUAGUCACUAGCAAUGGUAAAUUGGUACCAUAACUUUCUUUUUAUGCUAUAUCUUUCUUUUCUCUUCCAAAAAGUACGAUCGUUUCCAUUAAUAAAGUUACUGUGCUUACUCUUGUAUGCUGAUGACUAUGCACAUCUGUGUAGCAUGAUAUGUCAAUUUAUGUUUCUUUUUCUUCUUAAUGCAGUUUAUUUUUCUUAGCUAUGUACCUAUCAUGUAUUGCAUGCUAACUGGAGGGUGGGCUAUCUUGCUAUCAACAUAUAAAGAAGUUAUCAAAAGAAGAAUCCAAAGCAUCAUCAUUUGCUCUUCAUCUUUUGCAAAGCAGUGUCAGCUUCGACUGGUCCUGCUAGGUGUUCUAGUACUGCAAGUUCAAUAUGCAUUAAGCUUUCUGCUCUAGCAUCUUUGAACUUCUUUCAUGUCAGUUGCCUCUGCAUCUUUGCCAGCGUAGAGCCUUAUCUAUUUAAUAGAAGGCUACUGCAGUGAAUUUCUUGCAUGAAACAAGGAGUAUGCGUCAAUCGACCAGCAUGCUAAUCUUUAAUCAGAUUAUCUGCCAAGAAAUUAAAUGAUUCUCAUGCAGCUGAUCAGGAGGAAUAGAAGGGCAUAAAAGAACCCUUUUUUUUUGUCUCAGUGGAAGUUAAAGGUUUUGUGUGUGUGUUUUGGCAAGCACGAAAAUUGCUUUGGUCGAAGAAUAUUUCCAUUGUCAAUAAAACUGAAGUGCCUUUCAAGUUUCUGAUCCUUUUUUUCGGCAGAAGAGUACACUAGGUACACGAUUUGUUCCCUUUCCUAUCAUCCUCUGUAAAUUGGUCGUUGGUGCUAUAUAAAGCAAAGUACAAAUCCAAUUGGAAUCCAUGAUGAAUAGAGCAUCACAAUUGCAUGAGCUACUUAUCUUUUGAAUGGAGGUUCUUUGUCCAAGCGCCACGGCCCGCGGCACCAGUUCUUUUCUCGGUGUCCUUGGCAUCUGUGUUGAACCUCAAGUUGCACGCACAAUUCGCACUGAAGCUUUCUGUGGUUUUCACAGAAUAUAUGCUGCCUGAGCGUCCAAAUAAACUAUCACGGCGGCGACUAUCUUACACUUAGUGAUAGUUACUGUUCAGUGAUGCUCGUUGAGCAACUAGUCUGGUAUAGUGGUUAUGUGAUGCUCUUGCAGUUCAGGGACACCGGGGAAGCACCUGAAGGUUCGUUCCUGAUAUGGUAUCUAAUGCCAAAUUUGCACUUGAGAUUUUUUACCUUGUUUAUAGCUGUGGUGUGCUCUUAUGCCAUGUGUUAAUGGUUAGAUUUGUUUCACUGAUAUGUGUGGUUAAAAUUAGAUUAUAUUGAGGCAAUUAGAGGGACAUCUUUGAUAUUCUUUCUUGGGAUCAUCGUUGGAGAAUAUGGCAUUUCUGCUCCUGGUCA